UCUCUCAAAUGCCAGGCCCCGGAGGAUCAGAAUCAAGUCCUAUAGCAGACUCCUGCCACCUUAUGCUUGUCACCAACCCUUCUCCUCCAAAUCUGAUACACCAGACUUUCUGAGAACCUGUGCUUUAAUGAGUAAACUCACACAGCUGCAACAAAUGCUGCCACCUCCUGGCAUCUUUUAAAAAGGCUGGAGUGCAGUGGCAUGAUCUCGGCUCACUGCAACCUCCGCCUCCCGGGUUCAAGUGAUUCUCCUGCCUCAGCCUCCCAAAUAGCUGUGAUUACAGGGAACCCGUUGUUGCUCAGACACCCGAUGUGGAAAUUUUUCUUCUCCCUCAGUUCAAAUGAGAUAAAGAUCCUCCUCUCCUCACAGUGAACAUGAGGUCACAGUGUCCAUGUAACUAACUCCUGGUUAAGAGGAUAUGGAUAGAAGGCACAUGUUCAACUUCUGGCUUCUGUCCUUGAAAAGUGUGAUGAUUCCAUCCUUUGCUGUCUUCCUUCCCGCUGACUGGAAUGUGGACUUGGUAGUGAGCUACCUUGGACUAUGUGGAUGAAGACAAAGAUAAAAGGAACCAAGGACUCUGAUGAUUCUGUAGAGAAGAGGAACCGUAGCUGCUCAAACGUUCAUGUGAAAGAAGAAUAAACUAUCAGAUUUAAGCCACUGCUAUUUUGGGUCUUUGUGAUAAACAGUGUUUACCAUAUCCUAAUUCACUAUUCCUUCCAUUUCUAGGUCAACCAUGUUGAAUUAAAUAUAGUGCUCUAACUUGCAA